AUUCUUUGCUGACAGGAACAAUUUGUAUUUUACGGAUUCACUUCAUUUUGACCUACAUGGGUAAAUAGACAUGGAGCUGGAAAUCAAACAAGGUUGGUGCUAACUGCUUAAAACUUCACACACUCAAGCAGUUCUCUGUGGGCACUCUCCGGUUUGUCCCUGUGUAAUGAGUAAUAAGCUGAAGCAUGGAAUACGAAUUUAUCUGAGAACACUUUAGGAGAAAACAGGGAAAUAUGCAUGUACUGAAAUAGCUCACCCAAUUAUUUUGUCAGAUUUCUUUGAAACUGCCCAUGAUUCAUCUGUAAGCUUGCCCCAUUAGACUCCCCAAUUUCAAAACUACUAUGAUCAAAGUUUCUCUAAACAGAUUAGGUUUAGGUUUAGACUUAGUGUUAGGACUAGGUUUAGACCAGGUGUUAGGGUCAGAGUUA
rnacentral:lncRNA from 1 species